GCGGAUGUAGUUCAAUGGCAGAACACCAGCUUCCCAAGUUGGAUACGUGAGUUCGAUUCUCAUCAUCCGCU
rnacentral:tRNA from 2 species